GACGAACGCUGGCGGCGUGCUUGACACAUGCAAGUCGAACGGAAAGGCCUGCUUUCCCUUGUGGAUUGCGGGUACUCGAGUGGCGAACGGGUGAGUAACACGUGAGUGAUCUGCCCCCAACUUGGGUAUAAGCCUGGGAAACUGGGUCUAAUUCCCGAUAGGACUGCAGGGUGGUGCCUGUGGUGGAAAACGAUUUUCUAGUGGUUGGGGAUGAGCUCGCGGCCUAUCAGCUUGUUGGUGGGGUAAUGGCCUACCAAGGCGGCGACGGGUAGCCGGCCUGGGGGGGUGGACCGCGCCAUUGGGACUGAGAUACGGCCCAGACUCCUACGGGAGGCAGCAGUGGGGAAUAUUGCACAAUGGGCGGAAGCCUGAUGCAGCGACGCCGCGUGGGGGAUGACGGCCUUCGGGUUGUAAACUCCUUUCGACCGCGAGGAAGCCACCUGGUUGGAAGGGUGGUGACGGUAGUGGUAGAAGAAGCACCGGCUAACUACGUG
rnacentral:rRNA from 1 species